GUUUUUUUAGCAGAAACUUGAAAGGUGUAAUUGGAUGUUCGCAAUUUGGUGAAUUUUAUUUGAUUAAGGAAUUUUGGGAAAUGAAGGUUUGCGCUGUUUGUAUUGUUUGCGCUAUAUUUUAUUUGAUUUGGUGUUUAAUAUAUGUACAUAAGUGGAAAUUAACAGCUUGUUAUGCAACAGCUACCUCAGUCAUUGUUGUCCUG
rnacentral:misc_RNA from 1 species